rnacentral:rRNA from 1 species
UACGUAGGUGGCAAGCGUUGUCCGGAUUUAUUGGGCGUAAAGCGAGCGCAGGCGGUUUUUUAAGUCUGAUGUGAAAGCCCUCAGCUCCACUGAGGAAUUGCUUUGGAAACUGGAUGACUUGAGUGCAGUAGAGGAAAGUGGACCUCCAUGUGUAGCGGUGAAAUGCGUAGAUAUAUGGAAGAACACCAGUGGCGAAGGCGGCUUUCUGGACUGUAACUGACGUUGAGGCUCGAAAGUGUGGGUAGCAAAA